rnacentral:rRNA from 1 species
UGAGGAAUAUUGGUCAAUGGUCGAGAGACUGAACCAGCCAAGUCGCGUGAAGGAUGACGGUUCUAUGAAUUGUAAACUUCUUUUAUCAGGGAAUAAAGUGAGGUACGUGUACCUUUUUGUAUGUACCUGAUGAAUAAGCAUCGGCUAACUCCGUGCCAGCAGCCGCGGUAAUACGGAGGAUGCGAGCGUUAUCCGGAUUUAUUGGGUUUAAAGGGUGCGUAGGCGGGCUUUUAAGUCAGCGGUGAAAGGUUCGAGCUUAACUCGGACACUGCCGUUGAAACUGAUAGUCUUGAGUGCAAAUGAGGUAGGCGGAAUGUGUUGUGUAGCGGUGAAAUGCAUAGAUAUAACACAGAACUCCGAUUGCGAAGGCAGCUUACUGGGAUGCAACUGACGCUGAUGCACGAAAGCGUGGGUAUCAAACA